rnacentral:rRNA from 1 species
ACGCGACCCCAGGUCAAGCGGGGCUACCCGCUGAGU